CGACGCUGGCGGCGUGCCUAAUACAUGCAAGUAGAACGCUGAAGAGAGGAGCUUGCUCUUCUUGGAUGAGUUGCGAACGGGUGAGUAACGCGUAGGUAACCUGCCUUGUAGCGGGGAUAACUAUUGGAAACGAUAGCUAAUGCCGCAUAACAAUAGGUGACACAUGUCAUUUAUUUGAAAGGGGCAAUUGCUCCACUACAAGAUGGACCUGCGUUGUAUUAGCUAGUAGGUGAGGUAACGGCUCACCUAGGCGACGAUACAUAGCCGACCUGAGAGGGUGAUCGGCCACACUGGGACUGAGACACGGCCCAGACUCCUACGGGAGGCAGCAGUAGGGAAUCUUCGGCAAUGGGGGCAACCCUGACCGAGCAACGCCGCGUGAGUGAAGAAGGUUUUCGGAUCGUAAAGCUCUGUUGUAAGUCAAGAACGAGUGUGAGAGUGGAAAGUUCACACUGUGACGGUAGCUUACCAGAAAGGGACGGCUAACUACGUG
rnacentral:rRNA from 1 species